ACUCAAAUGAAUUGACGGGGGCCCGCACAAGCGGUGGAGCAUGUUGUUUAAUACGUCACUAACCGUAGAACCUUACCAGGUCUUGACAUCCUAGGAAUCUCGGGGAAACUCGGGAGUGCCCGCAAGGGAGCCUAGAGACAGGUGUUGCAUGGCUGUCGUCAGCUCGUGUCGUGAGAUGUUGGGUUAAGUCCCGCAACGAGCGCAACCCUCAUCCAGUGUUGCUACCAGGUUAAGCUGGGCACUCUCUGGAAACUGCCCGUGCAAGCGGGAGGAAGGUGGGGAUGACGUCAAGUCAGCAUGGCCCUUACGACCUGGGCUACAAACAUGCUACAAUGGCGCGUACAGAGGGCUGCGAACCCGCGAGGGUAAGCCAAUCCCAAAAAGCGCGUCUCAGUUCGGAUCGGAGUCUGCAACUCGACUCCGUGAAGUCGGAAUCGCUAGUAACCGCAGGUCAGCUAUACUGCGGUGAAUACGUUCCCGGGCCUUGUACACACCGCCCGU
rnacentral:rRNA from 1 species